AACGUAGGACACAAGCGUUAUCCGGAGUUACUGGGCGUAAAGGGCGUUUAGGCGGGUGAUUAAGUUCGUCAUGAAAGCGCCAGGCUAAACCUGGCGAGGCUGGCGGAUACUGAUCGUCUGGAGUGAGGGAGAGGGAAGUAGAAUUCCGCGUGUAGUGGUGAAAUGCGUAGAGAUGCGGAGGAAUACCAGUGGCGAAGGCGACUUCCUGGCCCUCAACUGACGCUGAAGCGCGAAAGCAUGGGGAGCGAACGGG
rnacentral:rRNA from 1 species